GACACAGAUUGUUUCAAACUUGUCAGCAACUGUAGCAGAAUUAAAACGGGAGGUUUCAGAUCGUCAGAGUUACCUUGUCAUGUCUUUGGUUCUAUGUGUGGUCUUGGGACUGAUGCUCUGUAUGCAACGUUGUCGAAAUACUUCUCAAUUUGAUGGAGAUUACACUUCAAAACUUCCUAAAAGUAAUCAGUACCCAAGCCCUAAAAGGUGUUUUUCCUCCUAUGAUGACAUGAAUUUGAAAAGAAGAACCUCAUUUCCCCUCAUCAGAUCCAAGUCUUUGCAGUUUACUGGCAAAGAAGCAUCCUGUGCUUUUCUGCCUCCUCUUCUUGUGCAGUAGACCCGAAUGAUUUGUACAUCGUAGAACCCCUCAAGUUCUCUCCAGAGAAAAAGAAGAAACGUUGCAAGUACAAAACUGAAAAAAUUGAGACAAUAAAGCCUGCAGAUCCAUUGCACCCUAUAGCCAAUGGAGAUAUAAAAGGAAGAAAGCCCUUUACGAACCAGAGAGAUUUUUCUAGUAUGGGAGAAGUUUAUCACUCUUCUUACAAGGGCCCUCCGUCUGAGGGAAGCUCAGAAACUUCAUCACAGUCAGAAGAGUCCUAUUUUUGUGGCAUUUCCGCUUGUACAAGUCUGUGCAAUGGACAGACCCAAA
rnacentral:lncRNA from 1 species